rnacentral:lncRNA from 1 species
CCAUGUCCCCAACAUCCCCAUUGUCCCCCAAUAUCCCCAACAUCCCUAACAUCCCCAACAUCCCCCAUGUCCCCAACAUCCCCAAUGUCCCCAACGUCCCCAAUGUCCCCAAUGUCUCCAACGUCCCUCAGUGUCCCCCAUGUCCUCAACGUCCCCAAUGCCCCCAUUACGCCCAAUGUCCCCAGUGUCCCCCAGUGUCCCCAAUGUCCCCAACAUCCCCAAUGUCCCCAGUGUCCCCCAUGUCCCCCAAUGUCCCUGAUAUCCCCAACGUCCCCAACAUGCCCAAUGUCCCCAAUGUCUCCAACAUCCCCGUUGUCCCCCAGUGUCCCCAUUGUCCCCCAGUGUCCCCAUUGUCCCCCGAUGUCCCCAAUGCCCCCGUGCUCAUCUCCCCCAUUGCAGUUCGCCAUCGGCUCCCUGAUGGACGAUUACCUGGGUCUCGUCAGCUGAGCGCCGUGGGGCGAGCGGAGAAGAUGGGGGACGAGGGACAGGGGACGAGGGACGAGGAUGGACGUGGGGCUCGGCCGUGGGGUGGCCCACCCCCUCCGCUCCCAAUAAAAAUGUUUUUUUUUUUGUCACUCCCCCGUCUCACUCCGCGCGUGGGGACGCGCGACACGCGCGACAAUCCCUCGGCGGGCCCCACCUCCGCCCAUCGCCGCUUUAAGGCGACGCGCGGCCGCUUGAAGAGGGCGGCUCGGCCGCGCAUGCGCGGCGCGCGGGGUGACGCCCGGCAGCGCGCUUUGCGGACUUCGGCGGCGCUUUGCGACGGCCGCGCUUUACGGCUCCGGGUCGCUUUCCGGCAGCGCCGCGCCGCCCCACCCUCUCUCUCUCUCUACUGCGCUCCUCAAGAUGGCGGUGUCCGGGGUGAGUGCGGCGCCCCGCGCCCCAUCCGCCGCCAUCCUCCGCCCCGAGCGGACCGGGGGGAACGGCAACGGCGCGGAUCGGCGCGGGGGGAUCUCCCGGAGGGACCGAGGGCGAUCGGGGCGGCGGAAGGGCGCGGGGGGAGCG